GGAUGGAUGUCUGAGUGGUUGAAGGUAUCAGUCUUGAAAACUGACAUAUUACAAAAUAUCGGGGGUUCGAAUCCCUCUCCAUCCG
rnacentral:tRNA from 1 species